CAGAAACUUAGGCCUUGGAGCUACUCUGGACUUAUGAGAUCCUACCUGGCACAAAUGAAAAUAAAAUCUAGAGGCUGGGAACCUAUCUCUGCGGCUAGAAGGCUUGCCUGCCACCAACAGCUCUGGCUUUGAUUCCCCAACACCACAUGGCAGCAGCAGGAGGAUAUGAAAUUCAAGGCCAUCCUCAGCUACACAGCGUGUUGGAGGCUAGCCUGAGCUAUAUGAGAUCACUGGCCUGAGGCAGUGGGCAUGAGAAUGGCAAAUGUCAUGAUUGUGUUGUGACCACAAGAAUAUCACUGAGGUCCACAUGGCUCUUACCACAAAGCUUCAAGGUGCUCAGCAGGAACCUAUAAAUAAGCAAGAGAAAGCCUACUUUACAACUGUUUUCAAGGUGGAGCCUGGAUUCUCAAGCUGCCCAACAAAACAUCCAGGACUGAACUUCCAUUAUAGUCUAACGCGGUCCAGUCUCCAAAGCUUUUGUAAAAGAAAGAGGUUUGUUGGCUGGAUCACAGCACAUUAGUAUAUCUGAGAUGACACUCC
rnacentral:lncRNA from 1 species